AUCCAUUCUCACAGCAUGCAGCGGCGCCCUAAAAAAUAUUGGCGAUUUUGCAAGAGAACUGGACAGUCCCGCCAUUUCUAGUGGUGGAUCGGAUAUGGGUUUAAGCGAUAAGAAACGAUUUCCUACUCUGCUCCGAUUGCAACCCUAUCGCACACCGGAUAUCAUUCAAGCGCUGAUGCU